AGAGUUUGAUCCUGGCUCAGAACGAACGCUGGCGGCGCGCUUAACACAUGCAAGUCGUACGGCCGGGCUUUCGGGUCCGGCAGUGGCGCACGGGUGAGUAACGCGUGGGAACCUACCCCGGGGUUCGGGACAACGGCGGGAAACUGCCGCUAACACCGGAUACGGCCGCAGCGAUGCGGCGAAAGGCUCUGCUUCGGCAGGGGCGCCCCGGGACGGGCCCGCGUCCGAUUAGGUAGACGGUGGGGUAACGGCCCACCGUGCCUGCGAUCGGUAGCCGGUCUGAGAGGAUGAUCGGCCACACUGGGACUGAGACACGGCCCAGACUCCUACGGGAGGCAGCAGUGGGGAAUCUUGGACAAUGGGGGCAACCCUGAUCCAGCGACGCCGCGUGGGUGAUGAAGGCCUUCGGGUUGUAAAGCCCUUUUGCCGGGGGCGAUGAUGACGGUACCCGGCGAAUAAGCACCUGCUAACUCCGUGCCAGCAGCCGCGGUAAUUC
rnacentral:rRNA from 1 species